UCAGUCGACUCCUACGGGGAGGCAGCAUUGGGGAAUAUUGCACAAUGGGGGAAACCCUGAUGCAGCCAUGCCGCGUGUGUGAAGAAGGCCUUCGGGUUGUAAAGCACUUUCAGUAGGGAGGAAGGUAGUGUAGUUAACACCUGCAUUAUUUGACGUUACCUACAGAAGAAGCACCGGCUAACUCCGUGCCAGCAGCCGCGGUAAUACGGAGGGUGCGAGCGUUAAUCGGAAUUACUGGGCGUAAAGCGCAUGCAGGCGGCCUGUUAAGUCAGAUGUGAAAGCCCGGGGCUUAACCUCGGAAUUGCAUUUGAAACUGGCAGGCUAGAGUCUUGUAGAGGGGGGUAGGAAUUUCAGGUGUAGCGGUGAAAUGCGUAGAGAUCUGAAGGAAUACCAGUGGCGAAGGCGGCCCCCUGGACAAAGACUGACGCUCAGAUGCGAAAGCGUGGGGAGCAAACAGGAUUAGAUACCCUGGUAG
rnacentral:rRNA from 1 species